UGAGUGGCGGACGGGUGAGUAACGCGUGGGUAACCUGCCUCAUACAGGGGGAUAACAGUUAGAAAUGACUGCUAAUACCGCAUAAGCGCACAGUGCUGCAUGGCACAGUGUGAAAAACUCCGGUGGUAUGAGAUGGACCCGCGUCUGAUUAGCUGGUUGGUGGGGUAACGGCCUACCAAGGCGACGAUCAGUAGCCGGCCUGAGAGGGUGAACGGCCACAUUGGGACUGAGACACGGCCCAAACUCCUACGGGAGGCAGCAGUGGGGAAUAUUGCACAAUGGGGGAAACCCUGAUGCAGCGACGCCGCGUGAGCGAAGAAGUAUUUCGGUAUGUAAAGCUCUAUCAGCAGGGAAGAAAAUGACGGUACCUGACUAAGAAGCACCGGCUAAAUACGUGCCAGCAGCCGCGGUAAUACGUAUGGUGCAAGCGUUAUCCGGAUUUACUGGGUGUAAAGGGAGCGUAGACGGUUGUGUAAGUCUGAUGUGAAAGCCCGGGGCUCAACCCCGGGACUGCAUUGGAAACUAUGUAACUAGAGUGUCGGAGAGGUAAGCGGAAUUCCUAGUGUAGCGGUGAAAUGCGUAGAUAUUAGGAGGAACACCAGUGGCGAAGGCGGCUUACUGGACGAUCACUGACGUUGAGGCUCGAAAGCGUGGGGAGCAAACAGGAUUAGAUACCCUGGUAGUCCACGCCGU
rnacentral:rRNA from 1 species